rnacentral:rRNA from 1 species
GACGGAGGGGGCAAGCGUUGUCCGGACUCACUGGGCGUAAAGGGCGCGUAGGCGGCCUACUAAGUCAGACGUGAAAUCCCCCGGCUUAACCUGGGAACUGCGUCUGAUACUGGAAGGCUUGAGGAUGGGAGAGGGAUGUAGAAUUCCAGGUGUAGCGGUGAAAUGCGUAGAUAUCUGGAGGAAUACCGGUGGCGAAGGCGGCAUCCUGGACCAUUACUGACGCUGAGGAGCGAAAGCGUGGGGAGCGAACAGG